AUUGAACGCUGGCGGCAUGCUUUACACAUGCAAGUCGAACGGUAACAGGCCGCAAGGUGCUGACGAGUGGCGAACGGGUGAGUAAUGCAUCGGAACGUGCCCAGUCGUGGGGGAUAACGCAGCGAAAGCUGCGCUAAUACCGCAUACGAUCUGCGGAUGAAAGCGGGGGACCUUCGGGCCUCGCGCGAUUUGAGCGGCCGAUGUCAGAUUAGGUAGUUGGUGGGGUAAAGGCUCACCAAGCCAACGAUCUGUAGCUGGUCUGAGAGGACGACCAGCCACACUGGGACUGAGACACGGCCCAGACUCCUACGGGAGGCAGCAGUGGGGAAUUUUGGACAAUGGGCGCAAGCCUGAUCCAGCAAUGCCGCGUGCAGGAAGAAGGCCUUCGGGUUGUAAACUGCUUUUGUACGGAACGAAACGGCUCUGGUUAAUACCCGGGGCUAAUGACGGUACCGUAAGAAUAAGCACCGGCUAACUACGUGCCAGCCGCCGCGGUAAGAC
rnacentral:rRNA from 1 species